GCAUGACUUGAUUAUGAAAGAUUUAUCGCUUAUGGAUGGACUCGCGUCAGAUUAGAUAGUUGGUGAGGUAACGGCUCACCAAGUCAACGAUCUGUAGCCGAACUGAGAGGUUGAUCGGCCGCAUUGGGACUGAGACACGGCCCAGACUCCUACGGGAGGCAGCAGUGGGGAAUAUUGCGCAAUGGGGGCAACCCUGACGCAGCAACGCCGCGUGCAGGAAGAAGGUCCUCGGAUUGUAAACUGUUGUCGCAAGGGAAGAAGACAGUGACGGUACCCUGUGAGAAAGUCACGGCUAACUACGUGCCAGCAGCCGCGGUAAUACGUAGGUGACAAGCGUUGUCCGGAUUUACUGGGUGUAAAGGGCGCGUAGGCGGACUGUCAAGUCAGUCGUGAAAUACCGGGGCUUAACCCCGGGGCUGCGAUUGAAACUGACAGCCUUGAGUAUCGGAGAGGAAAGCGGAAUUCCUAGUGUAGCGGUGAAAUGCGUAGAUAUUAGGAGGAACACCAGUGGCGAAGGCGGCUUUCUGGACGACAACUGACGCUGAGGCGCGAAAGUGUGGGGAGCAAACAGGAUUAGAUACCCUGGUAGUCCACACCGUAAACGAUGGAUACUAGGUGUAGGAGGUAUCGACCCCUUCUGUGCCG
rnacentral:rRNA from 1 species